ensembl:lncRNA
CAAAGUUGUUGUUUUUCAAACCGUAGUGGUUUAUUUGUUCCCAUUGAGGAGCCGGAUCUGUAGUUCAGGGGCCAGACGCUUGAAUGCUGCCGUUUAUUUCCGCCGUUUAUUGCCGCACCGACGUCCGGGUCUUAGUUUGGGUGAUUUGGAGUUAAAUACAGAAUUCAGAGGCUCGUCUGUUUCCUCUGCAGGGCUCUGAACAGCGUGAACACCAGUACCGGGUUCACUUAAGGCCAGAACCAGAAAGAACUCAUUUCAAUGCACAGCCUUCACGCACCACUGUUUGCUUCCAGAUCAUUUCUCCAGCCAAAGAACGCGUGUGUGAUGUGUGAUGUGGCGGCCGGCCGUCACUCCAUGUUUUUAGAGAAAGGAAGAAAGAAAAGCAAUAUGGCUGACCAGCUUUGGAUGAGGGAUGCCUUUCACCAAUUACAUCCAACCAGUUCCGACGCGGUACAUGUGCAGUGGAGCGAGUCAGCAGCUGAAGAAAUGAUGGCGAUCGCUCGUAGGAAAAAGGGUUCUGAAAGGGUUUAUCCUCGAAGGGCGGAACAAAAAGACCUUUUAAAGGAUUCUUUGUGACCAAGAGCCCCAUUGGGAACCUUCUUAUAAUUUUAAGGAUGGCUGAAAGCCUGUUGGUUGAAAGGGAACGCCCGUACCUUCUAGCUGGGUCCUUAGAAGAAGAGGAAUGGGUCGAAGCUCUACAGAGGGAUAAAACACUUUAUUUUCAUGGAACCCUCUGAACCGGUGGAACCACAAUGAAAUGGGCUACCAGGAAGCAGAAGGGGCUCAGGGUUGAGCCAAAGAACCCUGUGCACGUGUAUUUAACUAUUGAACUACCACAAGACCCUGGACCCCCGGACGCUUUAGGUUCAUUGUGUGGCAAUUAUUCUUUGGCCAUUUGAUCAACGUGUGUUUUGCGUGGGAACACGUGAAUAUGUAACACACGUCAGCCGAUCCGAUACGGGCCGUUAGGUGCGUCCCAGUUCAUUACGUAAUCUCUUGAAGAAGGUCUUUGUAUCAAAAUGUAGCUCGGAGACAUUUCAUUUUGCCGUAUUACAUCGUGCUCACAUUCAAAGGGCGCUCCUAAAUGAAUUGUGUUUGAUUACCAGGAAGCAAACCGGGGGCCUUGUGAUAUCGGAG